GGGGGAAAUGAUUGUAGAUGAUUUCUUGAGAAAAUUAACGGGGAAAUUUAGACAAGCUGCUACCAGUUACCAGAGAGCAACCUGGGUGAAGGUUUUGCAUUGUUUGAGAGAUGAGGGACUACAUGUGAGUGGCAGUUUUUCAUCGGGGGUGUCAAAGAGUGCAUUGAGAGAGCGUUUCAAGACGUUCAACGCGUUGUUUGAAGAGGUGCACAGGACUCAGUCCACAUGGUUGAUACCAGAUACACAGCUCAGGGAGGAGCUGCGCAUUUCCAUAGCCGAAAAGUUGAUUCCUGCCUAUAGAUCAUUUCUUGGAC
rnacentral:misc_RNA from 1 species